CGGUAAUUCCAGCUCCAAUAGCGUAUAUUAAAGUUGCUGCAGUUAAAAAGCUCGUAGUUGAAUUUCGGGGUCAAUAUGUUGGUCGUGCCUUGGUACGUACUAGCUUAUUGAUUUCUCCUUUCUGACGAACCAUGAUGUCAUUAAUUUGGUGUCAUGGGGAAUCAGGACUGUUACUUUGAAAAAAUUAGAGUGUUUAAAGCAGGCUCGCGCUUGAAUACAUUAGCAUGGAAUAAUGAAAUAGGACAUUUGAUUCUAUUUUGUUGGUUUCUAGGAUCGAUGUAAUGAUUAAUAGGGAUAGUUGGGGGCAUUAGUAUUCAAUUGUCAGAGGUGAAAUUCUUGGAUUUAUUGAAGACUAACUACUGCGAAAGCAUUUGCCAAGGAUGUUUUCAUUAAUCAAGAACGAAAGUUAGGGGAUCGAAGACGAUCAGAUACCGUCGUAGUCUUAACCAUAAACUAUGCCGACU
rnacentral:rRNA from 1 species